GAUGACACCCAACAUCAUAAGGGUCGCUCAAAGAGGGAGUCAGAGGGGGCUGCUGUCAAGCCUGCUGGGAACGGAGGAUAACACAGAUGAUUUACAAAGAAGUGCUGCUGCUAUACUCAUUCUGCCUGCACUUUUCAAGGAGAACUCCAAGUUCCUGUACUGCUUAGAUGAGGAACCACCAAGCUCAUUUCCAACCAUAAUAUUCCAUGAUGCCGUGACUCCCCUCCUUGCUGUGAAAGCAUCUAUA